UGGUAGGUAACUCUGACGAGCAAAUAUCAUGCCGAUUGGAAAGGGAAUGACCGGUUGGUGGAUGCAUUUUAAAUGGAUUUCAAUGAAGCAUGGAUAACAUCAGAAUGAUCUGCUCCUGUAUUUUCAACAUGAGUUUCAAAUUCAAUGGUGUGCUGAAGACUGAGGCUCAGCGGAGUGUCUUUGGUACAGCAUCAUGCAGAGUCCUUUCUAUGGAGGGAUGGUCCCAAGCUGAAAGUGGCACUCUGUUAUGAAAGGUUUUCUGUGCUAAGGUGAUGGUGUGCUGGAAUGGCAGUUGGCACUGGUUUGAAAGCAUGUGGAAAGCCGGAUGCCUAAUUCAGGGUGUUGCCCAUCAACUGUGCAGAGGAUCAUUGACAGGAACACCUUUUAACGGUAAGAGCUGUGAACUGAAGUAUUGAAUAUUCAACAAUAUAAUUCGGAGAGAAUUCUCCCCUGCCUCUGAAACCACAAAAGAGAACAAAGCUCCUCAGUGCUGUUGGGGGCAAAAUGGGAGGCCUUUUCUGGUUCCCACAGUUUGUGGUAACGUUGAUGUUUGGAAGUGAUGAGCUAUGAUUACCGCCCCAGUCUGAAAUCAUGUGACUGAUUGGUACCCCUCUGAUCCACAGGGUGAGCUUUCAGGUUCAUGACAGGACUGUUAACUCCUGAAUUGUUUCUUUACAUCUUACGCCUUGCGUGUUGUACAUUCCUUCUGCAGGUACUGCAGCAUGUAACUGGUGGGACAGAUGCACGUGAUGGGAUGAAGAGACUCAGCAUGUAAUACUUGAAUGAAGAUGAAAUAAAACCUUGAAAA